rnacentral:snRNA from 1 species
GCUCGCUUUGGCAACAUAUACUAAAAUUGGAAUGAUACAGAGAAGAUUAGCAUGGCCCCUGCUCAACGAUGACAUGCCAAUUCAUGAAGUGUUCCAUAUUCUU